rnacentral:misc_RNA from 1 species
GAUGAAGAACGUAGCGAAAUGCGAUAAGUAAUGUGAAUUGCAGAAUUCAGUGAAUCAUCGAAUCUUUGAGCGCACCUUGCGCUCUUUGGUAUUCCGAAGAGCAUGCCUGUUUGAGUGUCAUGAAAAUAUCAACCUUGACUUGGGUUUUGUGCUCUAGUCUCGGCUUGGAAUUGGGUGCUUGCCGCUUUUACGAGCGGCUCACCUUAAAUGUAUUAGCUGGAUCUGUCUUUGAGACUUGGUUUGACUUGGCGUAAUAAGUAUUUCGCUAAGGACAUUCUUCGGAGUGGCCUCGUUUCUAGGACGCUUGUCCGCUUUCCAAUACAAGUUCCACCUCGUGGACAUGACUUUUUAUUAUCUGGCCUCAAAUCAGGUAGGACUACCCGCUGAACUUAAGCAUAUCAAUAAGCGGAGGA